rnacentral:rRNA from 1 species
UGGGGAAUUUUGGACAAUGGGCGAAAGCCUGAUCCAGCAAUGCCGCGUGUGUGAAGAAGGCCUUCGGGUUGUAAAGCACUUUUGUCCGGAAAGAAAUCCUUGGCUCUAAUACAGUCGGGGGAUGACGGUACCGGAAGAAUAAGCACCGGCUAACUACGUGCCAGCAGCCGCGGUAAUACGUAGGGUGCAAGCGUUAAUCGGAAUUACUGGGCGUAAAGCGUGCGCAGGCGGUUUGCUAAGACCGAUGUGAAAUCCCCGGGCUCAACCUGGGAACUGCAUUGGUGACUGGCAGGCUAGAGUAUGGCAGAGGGGGGUAGAACUCCACGUGUAGCAGUGAAAUGCGUAGAGAUGUGGAGGAAUACCGAUGGCGAAGGCAGCCCCCUGGGCCAAUACUGACGCUCAUGCACGAAAGCGUGGGGAGCAAACAGGAUUAGAUACCCUGGUAGUCCACGCCCUAAACGAUGUCAACUAGUUGUUGGGGAUUCAUUUCCUUAGUAACGUAGCUAACGCGUGAAGUUGACCGCCUGGGGAGUACGGUCGCAAGAUU